GUGUCUUAAUUUGACUUGACAUAAAAUUUAAGGAAUAAAAAGGGCUUUUGAAUUUUGCGGUGACAUAAAAUUUAGUGAAUAAAAGGGACUUGAAUUUUGUGAUUUUAAAUUAAAAAUGUUAUAAUGUACUAAAAUAUAGUUUAAAUCUUGUCAUGGUAUUUGAAUUGUCAAUUGAUUAAACAUAAAAAGAGAUAUUAUUUUUAGUAGAAAUAAAAAAGAAAAGUAAAAUACUAAAAUUGAAUGCAUGGAUAUCAUAUUAAAUUGUCCUACAUGCAUGAUAAGUUAGGGCUCAUCAUAAGCUAGCAAUCUAGUCGUAAUAUAGCUGGCAUUACAUUAUUGCAAUAAUAUUUUCGGUCAAAGAUUCCGUAUUAGACAGAAGAAGUGGAGAACUGCUAGCCACAUGCAUUAUACAUGGCAAACAAAGAAGACAAGUCACCAUCGAUGGUUUUGAUACACGUUCAAUUCCUUGGAAAUACGUGCAUCAUUAACCUAAUUAGGGUUGUGCAUGUUAACGGUUAAAUCGAUAACCCGAAUUGAUUAUUAAGUUAAUGGUUCGGGUUAAUGGAUUACCGGUUCGGGUACCGGGUGGUGUUUUUGGGUUAUUGGGUCGGGUCGCGGGUUGACCAUUUUUGUUAACGGGUUACCCGAUAACCCGAUAACAAUUUAAUUAAUUACACUUCUACCCUUUCAUAUAUAUUAAGUCACUUACACUACAAUUAGGGUUACUUCAUUUCAUUUCAUUACACAACCUCUUUGCCUCUCUUUAAGUCUCAAGCCUCUCUUACGUCUUACUCAUUCACAUGAUUCUCAAGCCCCUCUUUUUCUUGCCUCUUCUUUGACGAUUUCUGCCUCUUUCACGAACAUGGCUCUGUGGGUCGGAAAUGCAAAAGCAAAAGUACUUGCCAUCAUUGGUUGAACUUAAAACUAUAGCUUGUUGGGUGAGAACUUUUUGUUUUGAUUAUUUCUUUAGAAUUUGUAUCUGUGGUUACCAAAGCAAGUUGCUUGAACAACUUGCUAGUCAAAGCAUUCUUAAUUAUCUGGUAUUGUAAGUAGAUUUAGUGAGGGCCAGCAUGCAAAUUGUUGUAUUACCAAAAAGGCGCUUUAGCAACUUGUUACUAUUAUGAAGGUUUAUACAAGACCUGAAAGGGAAACUGCUGGAGUUUGGUCCAGUCAAACUCUGCAA